ensembl:lncRNA
AGAAGAGAAAUUAUACCAAACACAUGAAGAAGAACAAUUAGAAAUUAAGAAACGUUUGAUGUUAAUUUUAAUUUAAUUAAGAACAUAAAACAAUAUAUUACACAAGAGACUGAUCAAAGGUGUUUAGACAAUACAUUUAUAUAAAGACUGUUUAAUUGGACAAAACAAAUAAAUAUAUAAACAGAAAUAAAAAUUGUGCACAUUCCUAUAACCUUUCUAGAAAGAUAUUAAAAGUAUAAUGAAUACUCACUGUACAAAAGAAAGAAAAAGUAUAAUUUGCAACAAUAAGAUCAAAAGAGAAGUAAACAUGAGGUAUGACAGACAUCAAAAAUGGAAAAAAAAAAAUCUAGAAUAAAAAGUGUCACUGGGUGACAUUUAUUUGAUGAUGUCAUGACAGGCUGUGUGGCAGGCAGGCAGCAGGAGUGGUGGACCGAAAAUGCAGGACUCUUGGAGACGGGACUUAAAUUCAAAACCCAGCUUUUUUGCUGGAAAAAACUCUCAAUCAAUUAAACUCACCAAAACAAAAACAAAAUCCAAAACUCUACGGACUGAAUUGGAACAGAGAACCUAAACAGGAGCCAAUCACACAGCAGCUAGAGGGUAGCAACAUUGAUGACAUGACAAAGAGUAAAGGAAAACACAGGGCUUAUAUACCCAGGGGAGUAAUCAGGGAAUGGGAAACAGGAGGGAGACACAGCUGGGAGGAAUUAGGGCAAACGAGACAAAGAGACGUAAAAGUGAAUUCACUGACAUAAGUCAUGGACUUUCAAUGUAAAACAAGAAACAAGUAACAAUGAUGCAGACUGAACUAAAUCUAGAAUAAUGAUAGUGAACACAGCACAACUAAAGAAUCAGAACAUAAAUCCUAGUACAGAAAAAAACACCAAAAUAUAAGAAAAAGAAAAUGUUGGGUCAAAAUGACCCAGAACUGUGACAGGAAAAGUAAUUUGCAUGAACUCCAGCAGUUCAGCAAACUGUGAGUGAACCCAUCCUAACACAAAGGGAAACCUAAAGCCAUGUGUAUUAAUUUAAUGUCACUGCUCUUAAAAACUGAGCUCACACUCUCACUACAAGAUCCACCAGCAGGUGUCAC